rnacentral:rRNA from 1 species
UACGUAGGGGGCAAGCGUUGUCCGGAAUCAUUGGGCGUAAAGCGCACGUAGGCGGAUUGCUAAGUCAGGGGUGAAAUCCUGGAGCUCAACUCCAGAACUGCCUUUGAUACUGGCGACCUUGAGUCCGGGAGAGGUGAGUGGAACUGCGAGUGUAGAGGUGAAAUACGUAGAUAUUCGCAAGAACACCAGUGGCGAAGGCGGCUCACUGGCCCGGUACUGACGCUGAGGUGCGAAAGCGUGGGGAGCAAACAGG